rnacentral:rRNA from 1 species
UACGAAGGGGGCUAGCGUUGUUCGGAAUCACUGGGCGUAAAGGGCGCGUAGGCGGCUUUAUAAGUCGGGGGUGAAAGCCUGUGGCUCAACCACAGAAUUGCCUUCGAUACUGUAGAGCUUGAGACCGGAAGAGGUAAGUGGAACUGCGAGUGUAGAGGUAGAAAUUCGUAGAUAUUCGCAAGAACACCAGUGGCGAAGGCGGCUUACGUGGCCGGUUCUGACGCUGAGGCGCGAAAGCGUGGGGAGCAAACAGGG